UGGGUAACGUGUGCUUCCUCAGAAGGUAUUGUAUCUAGACAGGACUCAAAGUAACAAGGGUCGAAGCCGCGAAUACAGAUAAUGUAGCGAAAAUCUGUUUUGUUCACCUGUGUCGACCGCUCGAACGUUUAGUUCACACUCUCGUGUUCAACUUUGGAUAACUACAGUACUUCAGGAAGCAGCCCGGCCAUUCAAAUCCAGCGCUACUCACUGUGCACUAGAUAGAUUUUAUUAUAAUAUUGCUGAGCGAUUUGAUCCAAUAUGUACUCAUACUCAUCCAUCGACAUUAAGUCGGCGACAUUAUCAGAUUUGUCUAUCGCGGCCAGGUUCAGCUCGGCCUUUGAACAGCCAAUUUAGAUCAGCAAGAGGAUCUCGAGAUAUCUACACGCAGUUCUUAUCAAUUGAAUUCGGAGCAAGAGGUGGUUAAGUGAAUUGAGAAAACUUCUAAAUUGAUAAUUCUACAUUGGACUCUCACAUAUCAGCUUUUGUUUGCGAAAAAUACCCUCUGGGAUUAUCUAAAUUUCUGUUUAGCCAAAAUUACCAGUUCGCAGCGCAGCUAUUGUACUUGUCACAAAUGGCUGAAGAUAAGAGCUAUAAUAUUUUAUGGGAAGGAUAACAUUUACACGAGUCUGUGAGUCAAGAACUAUUGUAAUCAGCAAUGAAUAAUACAGACUAUGGAUCCAUUGCAGUUGAUUGCCGUAGAUCAGACGGGUCUUAUAGACCAAGUAUUGAAUGAUUUCUUUUAUAUCAUUUAAGGGGAGAAAAAAACCUGUGAAAGGGUCUGACAAUUGUUAUCGACAUAUAUUGGAAAAGGAAAUUAUUAUGUAUUUAUGUACCUAAUUGACUAAUUUUU